UAACAUGUUAUGAUGGUAUGUAAUAUUAGCCAAGGAAAACUCUAAGUCUGAAAAUAGCAGUCUUCAUUAGUUUAUUAGUUUUCAAGGUGUUGCAAUAUGUUGAAGUUUACAUUGACCAGUUUAAUGAAUUUUGGACUAUAUUAUCUAAUUUCAGCUACUCUACCAACACAAAGUAGACGAGAAACUCAAAUAUAAUUCUACAAAGAAGUCAGAUUGAAGCUAAUACUGAUAAGGCAAAGAAAAAAAUAGAAGAGCUGACACAUCAUUCUAGUGUUUCCACAGACGUGCAGCUCCAGUUACAAGAAGGCAGUUUCCACAUGGGGCACACAGGAUGGAUUAUCUGCACUUUGAGGAUGACAGCCGUGGAUGGUGGUUUGACAUGGAUAUGGUGAUCAUCUAUAUUUAUUCAGUGAACUGGGUCAUUGGGUUCAUUGUUUUCUGCUUUCUUUGCUAUUUUUUCUUUCCAUUUUAGGAAUUUUCAUACCUUAAUACUGUUGCACAAUUACAAAUGAUGUAGAUAACAAUACUUAAACAUUUUUAAAAUGUGCUUUGAAGUUUUUAUAAUGUAUUAUAUAAAAUGUUGGUGUUUAUAGAAAAUAUGAGAAUGGAUUUAUUUAUGAAUGUUUCAUGUAACAAACUAAACUUGAUUUAAGAUCUAAUCUAUUAGCACUUAGCAACAAUACACUAUUAAUUUUACAGUUCUCCUUGAUUUGGGAUUUGUGGUUCUAAUUUUACAAUGUCACUUUUACACAUAUUGUAAAGAUGAGGUUUUCCCUCCACUUAAAAAUACUAAAAACACAAAAUGAAAUGAUAAUGAGUAGAUAUUAUCUUUAAUUAUGAACUAUUUAGUAAUCAUCACCUAUUCUCAGGCAAGUUAUAUACAUUAAAGAUAAACCAUCUUCUCUGGGAACUAAUCUAGCAGGGUAUAUUCAGUUUUGCUUUCCAGUGAUCUCUAUGUCCUUCAUUUCCUUUCUAUUACUGACACAGCUGACUAUACUUUUUUUUUAACAGACCUAAUCAUAUCAUUAGUGCAGCAUUUUAAACUAUUACAAGAAUAGAAUAGUAAACACAAACAAAAAAAAAGGAAAAAUAAAAAAAUAAAACUGAGACUAAUUCACACCAACAAAGACUUAGAAAACUAUAUUAACACUUUUCCAAUUGCAGGAUUACUCACCAGAAGAAAUUAAAAAGUUACUGACUUUCAGAGCAAUGCAUGUCUAAACUGUAAUUAAUUUAGUGAUUCUUUUAACUUGGAGGUUGUCAAAUAUAUUGUAAAUGUACAAUAAAGAGUGGCUUUUAAAUUUUU